rnacentral:lncRNA from 1 species
CUUGUGUUCAAUUUUCUCAGUUCAAAUUUCUAAGAUUCUGGCUGCCUUCUUCCUAAGGCCCAGGACAUGGAUAACCGAGAUGGGCAGCCUUAUCCUCAUGUGACCAAAGAGACAGAUAAUACCAGAUCACCUACCACAUUAGAUUGCUAAAGCUAUUGCCAUCUAAUUCUUUUUUUUGAAACAGAGUUUCACUGUUGUUGCCUAGGCUGCAGUGCAAUGGCGCAAUCUCAGUUCACUGCAACCUCCGCUUCCCCGUUCAAGUGAUUCUCCUGCCUCAGCCUCCCAGGUAGCUAGGAUUACAGGUGUGGGCCACCACGCCCAGCUAAUGUUUUUGUAUUUUUAGUAGAGACGGGGUUUCACCAUGUUGGCCAGGCUGGUCUCCAACUCCUGACCUCAGUUGAUCCACCUGCCUCAGCCGCCUCCCAAAGUGCUGGGAUUAGAGGCGUGAGCCACCGUGCCUGGCCUGCCAUCUAAUUCUUUAUACAACUAUAAUAUAGUCUUCAGGAAUCACUAAAUAUUCUCAAAAAGGUAUGCCGUUUUGAUUUUAUACACACACACACACACACACACACACACACACACACACGUCAAAGAUACUUCUUUAUAGAUUAAAAAAUAUAUAUAUUAUUACUCUUUAAACAAAGGGAGGCUCAAGGGUAUGGCAACAAGUCAUACCCAAAAAUUACAAUUAUGAACAUUCUUUGUGUGGGAGACAAAAAGUUAAUAUCUUUCCUUUUUAAUCAAACUUUAUAACACAGAAUCAAGAGAAAGAAUAAAACACACGUGCCCAAAGGAUAAUGUUUGGUUUUUACAGAAAAUUAUAAGCUCUUGAAAGAGAAAGGGCUUACAAGAAAACUACCAUUUUUCCCUAAUUAUAGUAGUGCUACUUUAUCUACUUGUUCUAUGAAUGUAUUUUUGGUACCUUGUUUUAAGAUUCAGAAUAUGUUAUAACAUCAACAAUGAACUCAUGUGCUAGCGUUCUUAGGAAUGGCUAUACUUCAAAAUAAAAUACAGUAAAAGGAGCCAAAAUUAACAAAAUGAUAGCUGUUUCUCAAUUUCCUUUCAGGAUUUUUCAAAAUACAACGCUUAAUAAAACCUACCUCGCUUAAGAGAAGGAAUACAUCUAUUCAAGACCAACUAUUCUUAUAUUAGUCUCUAACCAGGUUUCUAUUUAAAAUAAGACAUGCUGUCAUCAUGGUGACUGUCAAGAUAGGUAGGUCUUACUGGUCAGACAUGGAUUAACCCACUAGACCUGAUGGAUCAUGGCCUUCAAACUGGCUUAUGGCUGGGAGGCAAACAAGUGCAAGAAAGGCCUAACAGCCAAGGCAAUAUAAUAUAUAUUAAAUUGAAAUGAGAAGCCAAGGACAUUCAACUCUGUAUGUAAACAGACUCUAAACAGGGACACUUAACAGACACACCCAUCAUGCCCUCCACAACACACUAAGCUUGCCUUUAUCAUAUGAUGCCUGCAACUUGUGUAGCAACUGUGUUUACUUGUCUGUUUCCACACUAAGGGAGCAACUGUUUGACACAUCCCAAUACCCUAAGUCCAAAGAUAAGUGUGAAACAGCAUAGAUGUAAAAUAAAUGAGCAACAGAGAAGGCAGCAGAUACAAAGCAAACAGAUGUCACUAUCUUCUCUCAUUCCACAUUUUGCCUCAAGAACCUGUCAUCCUACAACUAGAAGAAUAGUAAAAUCCAGGUUUAUUUUUUAAAUGUUUAAAUAAUGUGAAUCACUUAACCCCUUUGAAUCUAAGUUCCCUCUUCUAUAAAGGAAAAAAGACCAACUCUUAAGGUCCAUUCAGCUAAAUAAUUUCAAAAUCCUAUAAUGAAAUAUAUUCUGGCAAUAGAUCCUUGUUAAUAUUAACUUAAUGCUUCUAUGUGAUCAAUCAUCAUGCUCGUAUCUGAAACCAGAGUUGUACUUUUUACUGCUAUGCUAGUCAAUUGCCACAUGGACUCAUAAAAGGAAAACAAUCCACAAAGCACUAUUUUUGAAAACAUCUGUAACAUCUAUAAUUGCAUAACAAGUCUUAGUAAAAUUAAAAAGAUAUAAAAUGGUAUUUGCUCUAGAUAACCUAGACUUGCUUUUGCUAGAGACUUGCUGGGAUUUUUUUUAAUCAGGGAAAAUAAAUUGUUUACCCUCAUGUUUCUUGGCCAACUAGAAAUCCAAGUUGCUAGUAUUUAGUUUGCUAACGUUUCACAGCUAAGUUCACAUUUCUGAAAGUCCACAGCAACAUUUCCAUCUAAUGAUCACAACACCUCUGUUUUAAAACCCUCCAGUGGCUUCUCUCUGCACCUAGAAUAAAAUCCAUUCUUCUUAUUGUGGCUUGUAAGACCCUACACUAGCUGGUCCUCUCUGACUUCUCCACUACUUGCAAUCAGCACCUCUAGGCUUCAUUCAAUUCUCUCAAUUUGUCACAUUUUUCUCACUUUAGAGGCUUUGCACUAUCUCUUCUCUCUGCCAGGAAACUUUUUCACUCAGAUCUUCACAUGCCUAGUUUCUCCAAAAUCCUAAGGGCAUUUCUACUCAAAUGUCACCUUUUUAAAGAGGUCUUCCCUGACUACUUAGUCUGAAGUGGGCUUUCACCACAGCAAUUCUUUAUUACCACGCACUCUUUGAUUUUCUUUACACUUCUUACUACAAUCUGAAAUUGUUUAGUUUAUUCCUUUCCUUGUUUAUCUUCCUCUUCUGUCAGAACAGCCAACAUAGAGGCUCUGUAAGAAUAGGAAUGUUGCCUAUCUUUUCACUCCUCUAAUUCCAGAGUCUGGAACAGUGUCUGGCAUAUAGUGAGUGUCAAAUAUUUACUGAAUAAAUAAAAAUAUAGUAAAGGGAGCUGCAUCUAUUUAGCAGCACUAGUCCAGGCUCUUUACACAAAGCAUCUCAUUUAACUUCAUGACAAUUCCACAGGAGGUGGAUAUUACUCUACUUUACAGAUGAGGAACUAGGACUCAAAGAAAUUAAAUGACUUUAUCAAAGAAAGAGACUAGCAUAAAGGUCAUACCUAAAAUAUGAACCUUAACUUCUCUCCCAAACUUCCUAUAUCUCUGUUUUUGGUAACAUGUCUAUUUUGCCAAUUAUGCUCUAAAUUGACCUAGAAUUUUAAUCUCUAAAAUAUUUAAGGACUGUUACAAUCCUGUGAUGAAAAAAACAACCAGAACAUGGCCCAGAAAAAUAAGACAAGACUCUUGAAAUGAAAUUGCCAUUUCUGUCAGAUGAUUCCAGUAAAAAGAAAAAAAAAAAAGUGAGAGAUUAAGUAACAACAUUAGGACUUUUCUUUAAAAAAUUCGUAUUUUUAAAGGAUACGUCUAAAAAUAGAGGGUAAUCCUAAUUUCAAAUGAAAAGGCUGCUAGUCAUAUGAGUUUAAUAAUGAAAAGAAGGCUAAAGUAUUUUUUAAAAAGCAAUAGUGAACUAGCAUCAAUCAGAAACUGAGCUUAAAAAUGCAUACCACUGGCCAGGCACGGUGGCUCACGCCUGUAAUCCCAACACUGAGAGGCCAAAGUGGGUGGAUCAGGAGGUCAGGAGUUCGAGACCAGCCUGGCCAAUAUGGUGGAACCCAGUCUCUACCAAAAAUACAAAAAUUAACUGGGCAUGGUGGUGCAUGCCUAUAAUCCCAGCUACUCAGAAGGCCGAGGCAGGAGAAUGGCUUGAACCCGGGAGGCGGAGGUUGCAGUGAGCAGAGAUCAUGCCACCGCACUCCUGCCUGGGUGACAGAGUAAGACUCCAUCUCAAAAAAAAAAAAAAAAAGUAUACCAUUUACAAAAGUAUUUUAAAAUAUGAAAUAUUCAGGGAUUGCAAUGAUAUUAAUAGUUAAUUUAAUGUGUCAACUUGGCUAGGCUAUGCUGCCCAGUUGAUCAAACACUAGUCUAGCUAUUGCUAUUCUGUAGAUGUGAUUAACGAUAACAAUCAGUUGACAUUAAGAAAAAGAGCUCUCCUCCAUAACAUGGGUGGGCCUCAUCCAAUCAAAUGAGGCCUUCAGAGCAAAACCAGAUAACCUAAGGAAGAAGGAAUUCUAUCUCAAGACUGUAAGAGAAAUCCUGCCUAAGGUUCCAUCCUGCCUGCCAAUUCUAUGAAUUUUGGACUUGCCACCCACCACAAUCACGAGCCAAUUUCUUAAAAUCAAUCUCUCUGUCUCUCUCUCUCUACACACACACACACACACACACACACACACACACACACACACAACGCACCCUUAUUGAUUGUUUCUCUGCAGAACCCAACUUACAGAGGCAUAUACGAGACCAAAAUAUAAAAGACUUGCAUCCUAUAAACUACCAAACAUUACUGAGAGAAAUUAAUGAAGCCCUAAACCAAGUGCUAUACCAUGUUCAUGGGUCAGAAGACUCAAUAAUUUUAAAAUGUCAAUUCUUUCCAAAUUGACCUACAGAUUCACUGCAAUUCCAAUCAAAACGUCAAGCAAGCUUUUUAAAAAAACUGACACUUAUUCUAAAAUUCAUAAGGAAAUGUAAAAUACCUAGACUAGCAAAAAUAACUUUGAAAAAAAGAAAAUUGGAAGACUACAUGAUUUCAACACUGAAUAAUCAACGCAGUGCAGCACUGGUGUCAAGAUCAACAAAUACCUCAAUGGAACAAAAUCGAGUCCAAAAUAGAACUACUACAUAUAUAAAGUCAACUGAUUAUUCACAGGGGGAAAAGGGAAUUCAAUAGAAAAAGGAUAAAUUUUCAACAAAUGGUGUCUUAAGAACAUCCAGAUAGAAAAGUUUUCUAUACUCAAAACUUAACUCAAAAUGGAUCACUAUAUUUAGAUAGAAAACCUAAAACUACAGGGAGAAAGCACAGGAGAAAACCUUUGUUGACCUUGAAUUACGCAAAAAAAACAUUUUUAGAUACAGUACCAAAAGUACAAUCCAUAAAAGAACUGAUAAAUUAGAUAUCAAAAUUAAAACCUUUGCCCUUCAAAAGACAUUGUUAAGAGAAUGAAGAGACAAACCAUAGACUGGAAAAAUAUUUGCAAAUCAUAAAUCUGAUAAAGGAUUUAUACAUAAGAACCCUCAGAAUGCAGUAAGAAAACAACCAACCAGAUUUUUUUAACGGGUAAAAGAUUUGAACAGAUGCUUCCCAAAAGAGAAAGGGAUGGCAAAUAAACAUAUGCAAGGAUGCUAACCAUCAGCAGUCAUUAGAGAAAUGCAAAUUAAAACCACCACUACUCACUAAUUAGAAUGGCAAUAAUUAAAAAGACUGACUGCACCAAAUGAUAGCAUAAUGCUGGUGGGAAUGUAAAAUGGUACUGCCACUUUGGAAAACCACUGGCAGUUUAAGAAGAAACUAGGUAGGUAUAGAACAUAUAGCUACCAUAUGAUUCAGUCAUUCUACUCCUAGGUGUAUGCCCAGAGAAAUGAAAAGUUUAUGUCCAUACAAAGACAUGUACAUACAUAUUCAUAGAAGCUUUACUUUAAAAGUCAAACACUGGAAUCAACCCAAAUAGAUUAUCAAAAGGUGAAUGGAUACACAAAAUGUGGUAUAUCCAUACAAUGGAAUACUACUUACCAAUAAGAAAGAGUAACUAUUGGUGCAUGGUACAACACGGAUGAAUCUCCAAAUAAUGCUGGGUGAAAGUAGCCAGACAAAAGGAGUGCAUAUUGUAUUCUAAGACAUGCAUGCCAAUGUAAAGUAAAAGAAAACAGAUAAUGGUUGCCUAGAGAAUGCAGGGGAGGGUUAUCAAGGGACAUCAGAAAACUUUUGGGGGUAUAUGUUUAGUGUCUUGACUGUGGUGAUGGUCUCAUGGAUAAACACGUCAAAACUUAACAAACUGCACAUUGUAAUAUAUGCCAUUUAUUGUAUAACAACUAUAUGUCAAUAAAAUUGUUUCAAUAAAAAUAGAGACUUGCCGAAAGUGUUAAGGACAAUAAAAAGACUUAAAUACAUUCUCAACAACAACAAACAAAAGCCAGGUUACUUACUUGCAAUAAAACUGCUAACAGAUAACCUACAUAAUUGUUUUACUCCUGCCUUGAAUCGGUCUGGGAGUGGGAAGGGGAAGAGGAAGGGGGUGAAGGAAAAAAAAAAGGAAAAAAAAGAAUGAUCUUUUAAUCUGUGAAGGAUACGGAUUAAAAGAAAAAUCAAAGUCCAAGAUAGGAAGGAGACAGCAAAAGAAAAGUAAUCACUUUUAAUUCAUGUUUAUAGGUCAAGAAAAAUAUUAUCCCAAGACAUUAAAUGUAUCUGCAGAUUUGGUAAUUUCCAAGGAAUCACAAUGAAACGCCAUGAGAACUGCCGGAUUUACCACCCCCCCCCCCCGCCCCCCAACACACCACAAAAGCUCUGAUUAAUAAGGAACUGGUUUCUCUGACAUUACAUUUGCUCCCGCUCCUCCAAUAUUCUAAUUAACUACACCUUCUCUGACUUCUUUCUGGGCUCCUAUUCCACUUGUCCCUUAAAUAUUGGUGCUCUUCAGAUCCUUGUUCUACUUCUAGUCUCACUCUUCAACAGGGUUUACAACCUUCCAGGGGAGUUUUUGAUUUCCUUUGAUAAUAUGAUGAAAGCUAGGGACCAGAACAAUGUAUAUUUACAUAAAAUUUUACAUGUAAUUAUUUCAAAGGUUUCAAAACUCUUCUGAACCUUGGCCAUGUAUGUAUUCCUUAGCUUCUCACGGGGGGAAGAAAAAAAAAAAGAUUCCUUUUGGAAUCCCAGCCAAGGUUUUGUUUCUUUAAAAUCCCAUGCAGAGUGAGAAGCACACAUAGACAUGACAAUGGGAAAUUUAAAUGCUCACAAAUAAAAUUCACAUAGAAUCUAGGACAUCAUGAUAUCUUUCUGGAUAAUAGAGAAACAGUUUAACUGGGUAUAUUCUUAGCUUGCUAUUAAAUGCUGAUUAAUAGAUUUAUGAAGGAAGCUUAUAAUCACAAUUCUGUAGAAGUUCAUCCUCUUAAAUGUUUGUUUUAAAAAAGGUGAUUUGAAUGAGGGCAUAGAAAAUAUGCCUAUCAAAUUUUGGACAAUAAGAGGUUGUGACAGUGAGUAGUGGAUCACAAACCCAGGGUUUAAAACAUAUUGACUGAUUCAGCCUAGGGAUGAGAUGGAGGUCAGGAAAGAUCCUCAACUUCAAAGAUCCUUAUGUAAUAUUACUCUCCUUUUCCUCAACUCCCAAUAACCUGUGGAAAUGUAAUACAUCUACCAAGACUGUAAGCUCCUUUAGGACAAUGCCCAAGUCUUAUCAUCAUCAUACAGCACCUUGAGUGAUGCCAGUAUCAUCGCUUGAACUAUAUUCUGCUAUGGUAACAAAUGUCCAAAAUCAUGGUGCCUUACAGCACAGUAUUUAUCUCACACUUAUAUGCUUAUCACAGAUUGGCUUCAGCUCUGCUCCAUUAUUCUGGGACCAGCCAUAGCUAAGUCAUGCUGGUUCCAUGACAGAGGGUCAAGGGCCACUGGCAGAACCACAGGAUGAAAAAUAUCUGCUCAAACAUGGGACAUGUCACUUUAACAUUUUAUUGGUCAAGGAAAGCCAAAUGGUCAAACCUGAUGUCAACAGAAUAAGAAGUAUAAUCCGACUACAGAAAGAACCCUGAUAGAGAGAAGCAAUAAAUAUUUUUGAAAUAAUAGUCUACCACAGUGCCUUCCUUAUGAAAAGUGCCUAGUAAUUGGUAGUAUUUAUACACCAGAUCAUAAACACAAGGAUAGAGACUGUAAUGUGUCUCGCCCCUGACACACCAGCACCACAUGGUGCCUACCAUAUAUGAAUGGACACACUAAAUGCAUAUUAAGUGAAUGAAUAAUGAUGAGAUGAGCAUGAGAUCUGGAAUCAAAAAGCUUGCAAUGAAGUUCUACAUGUGCCAAUUCUAGACUUAGUGGAAAGUCAGUUUUUCUGAUUCUCAGAUGGUUGUUGUGAAGAUUAAAUAGAUGUGAAAACACCAUGAAAACUGUGCUAUUUUAUACAAAUGGUGAUAUCUUCAGAUAUAUAAAUUCAUUUAAAGUUUUAUAGUAAUGCAAUACAUAAUAUCCUACAUUUACUUUCAAAGCAUCAACUGGCAAGUAAAGAGUGACAAAGAUUAGACUUAAAGUAAUUCACAUGAAAAAAAGACAAGGUUUUAGUUGAUUAUAAGCUGAAUGUGAUCAAAGGGUAAUGUGGCUGCCAAAAAAAUGCAAUGCAAAUUUCAGACUACAUUAAUAGAAACACAGUAUCCUAGAUAAUAGCUUCACUGUAUUCAGCAAUGGUCAGACCACAUCGGAAGUAGUCAGUUCAGUUCUGGCCACUGUAUUUUCAGAGGUAAACUGACAAAAACUUUGUCAUGAGUAGAGCGAUAUAGAUGGGGAAAGGUCUGUAAACCAUGUCACAUGCAUGCGGUUUAAAAAAAAAAAAAAGAAUUUUUUCCCUCAGUUUGGCAAAAAAGAAGACUGAAGUAGAACAGUCAUUUUCAAAUACUUAAGAGUUAUUGUGUACAAGAAUAAGAAGUUUCACAUACAUAGUCCUAGAUUUCCAAGAACGAGUAAGAGAGGAAAUACAUUUAGCUCAAUGAAAAGCUGUUUCUAUGAGAAACCUAAAACAAGGAAAAGUGGAUGAAAACAUGGUUAGAAAUGCACUUGAGGAGAUCAAAUUGGGUGUGAGUCCUAUAAAUCUAACUCACUCCUCUGUGUAACCAAACAUUUUUGAGGCAUAUGAAAAGGCCCAAACAGCAUUUCUUUUCUAAUUAAAUAACAACAACAAGGAAAAACAAAGGUAAGAAGUAAAACAAGAAGUUGUUUGGUCUAAUAAACAUGGAAAUGCAUGCUGUUGAGGGAAAUGAAAUUUUAACAAUAGAUAACAUUAAAGAUAGAUACAGCGUCUUGGGUUUUUAUAGAGAAAACCGGUUUAAUCAAAAUUGUAUUUAUUCUAGAAUUUAUUUUUCCUAAUAUGACCUAACUCACCAUUUUCAGGGGAAAUGCAAAACCUAUUUUAAAAGUUCCUACGAUGGCUGUUGAGAAAAAAAUUUGUUAAUAUUAAGAGUUAGUGUUCAAAUUACAAGACAAUAUUAGUAUACUGACCAAUCGUAUAAGCAUUCAAAUUUCCCAUGGUAGACUAUUACACAGCAUGUCACUGGCAUUGAAAAAUGAUCCCUUGCUAAGUCUUCCUUUAUUUCCUGGCACUAUUCAAAAUCCAGCACUUUUCCAGUCUCCAUUCCCAGCUUCCAAAUUCCCAUAUGUUCUCUGCAUACUCUGGACACCCUAGUAGGUCAUAAGUAAUAAAGAUAAGUACCCGAUUUAGCUUUAUAUCCCAGCCCCUCAUCUUCAACUCACAGCUUGCAUAAAAAACACUAAAAUUUAUUAAAAUUUGAAAAAUUUCUGAUUUUCAAAACACAUUUCCUUCCUAUAAUGAAAAUUUUUUAAGUUACCCAAGUAACUUUGAUUAUAUUUUAAUUGUUAUGAGAGCAUAAGUGUGAGAAAGUAAAGGUGGGCUAGAAGGACAGAUGGGGGAUUAUUACAAGAAAUAUACUUUUAUAAAGAAUACUUUAUAAAAUAACUUGGAAAAAACUCUUCUUCCCUUAAAUUUUUCUUUGUGUACUACAUGUGCAUAUUUUCACAGGAUUUAAUAGGACAUGGUCCCUGACACAAAUUACUAAAGCCCUACCUACUUCUCUCACUGCAGGUAUGCAUCUUACAAAGUAAGAUUAAAAAGCGGCUUCAUUGACUUAGGAAAAUUAACUUGCACAUGCCUUUUUGGAAUAUAAAUUCAGAUUUUUAAAAAAUCUAUUCCCCCAAGCCAAAAAAGGAAAAUGUGGGGGAAAAAAAGGGGAACAUCUGUUCUCUACUAAGGAAUAUGAAAGUUUAGGACUGACUUAAAGUACAGGUUAAGGCUUAAGAACUUGCCACUGGAAUUCUGUACUAUUUCUCUUCCUGCUCUGUUGUGGACACUACCAACACCUGGUCAUGGGAACUCAAUGAUAAGCUCAGAAAUCAGGAGAACUAGUUUCAAAUCUCCCAUGUCAAUCCAUCCAACGGGAACAGCCUACAUUUCACUGGGAGACAGGACAAUACCUCAGUAGAGAUAGCAGUUUUGGAAAGUACUGAAACAGUUGCCAGUCUAAAACACAGUAACUAACUAAAAAUCUUAAGUUUAAAAAAAAUUAGAUACUCAAGUAUUAAAGCAAUUAUCUUUAAAAGAUGAAAAUGAUGCACAAUAAAUAUUGAUUUAAGAAGCCACUUCAAAUUAAUUACAGUUAACAUGUAUUGAGUAUUUUCUGUAUGUCAGGCAUUCUUUUAAGUGCUUAUAUACAUUAAUUCCUGGCUACUCUUCCCCACAGCCAUAUAAAGUAAUAUUAUCAUUGUGUUCAUUUUACUGAUGAGAAAAAGGAGGUAUAGAAUGGUUAAGUAACUUGCCUAAGACAACACAGCUACUGAGAGACAGGAGAGUGAUAGGAAUUCAGGCAGGAUAGCUCCAGGUUUCAUUCUACCUUUAGAGUUGGUAUUGCUGUAUUACAUAUCUUGACACUUGAAGGCCCCUUUAAGUCUAUCAGCUUUAAUCGCAUAUGAAAUAUUAUCACAGGCAGCCAAGGCUGUAUAGAAUUAUUAAAAUGCUUUCACAAUCAACUUUUAAGAUCAGAUCACUGAAUCUAAGAUAUCACUUAAGCCAUUAGAAUCUAAUAUAAUUUAAAAAAAUAUUUUGGAUUUAUUAUACUUCAUGAUAAGUGCAAAUGGGUGCCUUUUAUAUAUUUAGCAUAAUGUCGGACACUGUCACUAAAACUCUUUUGCACAGAACUAGAUCUGGGAUAUUUUAUUCACAUUAGUGUUUAUUAAAGUAAUUUUACUACUUCUCAAAUUCUAAAUGCAAUAAUUCAACAGACAUUUGAAUACUGAAUAAACACCAAGUAGUAUGAAUACAAGAUAAAUUAGAUGGUCUCUGCUCUCAAGGGAGGCCACGGUUACAAAACAAUGUAAUAACUGCUUUUAUGGAAAGAUGACCAAGGUUCCAAGGGAAUUGAGUGCUGCCUAGCUCAAGUGAGAAUGGUGGCAGUUCCAUGUGCGAAGGCAUGCAGAUGUAAAAAUAACAUUUUCCUCUCAGGGAACAUCAAACAAUUUAAGUAGAAUUAGAAUGCAGGGUUUACAUGGAAAGGAAAAAGUGAUCAGAGAUAAAGAAUAAAGUUGGAGCUAGGGAAAGAAAAGUCUUAUCAGUCGUAAUAACAAUAAAAAAAUAGCAAGGAUUUAAGCAGGCAAGUGAUAAGAGCAAAUAUGGUAACAAUAGAGGCUAUCGUAUUUUUAAACAACAGAACCUUGCUCAACUGAAAUACUAUGCAAACUUCCACGCUUAAAAUUAAUCAAAAUAAAACAGCACUGGUUGAAACCGGGAUGAAAUGCUUGACUUCCUCCAGCACACUCUCAGCAAGAGUUUCAAAAUCACUGCUUUAGAAAGUAAAAUUAUUAUCUCUACACAAAUAUGUUCUACUUACUUCAUGCCUCUCCUGACAUGAUUCUAAGUGCUCAAGUACAAUAAUUCAUUCUAGUAGUUGUUCAUCAAUUACAGAAGUAGUCAUAUACAGAACUAAUCAUAUAGCAUGAGAUCUUCAAAAUUAAUGACAAAAAAUUAUAAUACAGAAAAAAGAAGAUAAAAAUUACCAGCUUUUUCACUCAAGUUAAAACUAUCAUUUAAAUGAACACAUUUUCUAACCUAAAAGUCAGAAUUCAUGGUUGGACAAAUACUAGUGUAUUUAUGGACACAGAAUAUUCAAAACUGGUACAGUGCAGUGCUGUAAGGCAUAGAAUGUAACUGGCAUAAGUGUAAUUUUUUUUCCAAGAUUGGUAAACUUGAAUUUUCCUAACAAUGACCUUCUGUCUAAAAGCCCUUCUCCAUCUAUAACUAUGGUGUCUAUUCUUCCACCUUAUAAAAUUUGGAAAUCUAAAUGUGAUUACUAAAAAUGAUCAUCAUUGUGAAACUGUUUGUCUUCCUUAUUGCCAUCUAAUAUUCCCAGCAAUAACAUGUAAAACUGGUUAAAGAGGUACAUAUGCCUCUCUUACAAUUCACUACUCCUGACUCUUCACAGUGAGAAGCGUGAAUUAAAAAUCAAGGUUAUAAUCCCAGGGAAAAGGCAUACAAUGAUUAGCUCAACAUGUUUUAGAACGAAACAAUUACACUUACUUUAUACAAUCUAAACUAAUCCCUAUGAUCUUUCUCUUUACCUUUACCCCCUUCCCUCCCAGUACUAACAUUUGUGGGGAACACAAUCACUCAGUCUUAAGAAUUUUUAAAGAAUCAUCUGCUUUAUAAUUAACAGAUUGAAAAGAAAUGUUCAAAACAAUGUUUAACACACAAUAAGAGUUACACAAGGAUCUCAGAUAGUUAUUUCUUUACUCCAUCAGAUAAAACAUUAGAAAACAACAACCCUGGAGCACUCUAUCAGCGCAUUAGAAGUUCACUCACAGAAUACGGCUGAAGACAAACUAUUGACAAUUACUAAAAGGAAAAAGGAGUGAGAGAAGCAUACGCUACAAAUUAAAGCUGUCAAUACAUCAUUUGACCAAUAUGUGUAGUAUAUUUACUUACAGGCAUACUUAAGAAAUGGUCCUCAGGCUGGGCGCGGUGGCUCAUGCCUGUAAUCCCAGCACU